CCUUGCACUGCAACCCCAAUGAGGACACGCGUAUAUGACCUUACUUUGGACUUGAUAUUAACUUUUGCACAAUAUUCACAUUUAUUGAGAUGCACUUGUAGAAAUAUUAGCGAAAAGGCAAAUACUUUCCAAACACUUCCACGACUACCAUCGACACUCUACCUGUAAUAGGACAGCAGGCCGUUGCUGAGGACGAACCACCGGCGCUGGUAGCCCUUCAGUGGUGUGCUGGUGCAGCGGGGACUCACCAGUGGAGGCGGAGAGCGUGGAGGAACGCCGACAAACCUUCCAUGACCAGCAGGAUGGACACGCACCUCAGACAGCUCUGGACGGAUAAGCAACCAAAUCCAUGACAAACAUCACAACUUGGCGCCUCGACGGAUUAGGGCGGCACUUACGUGCGUGCGCCAAGCUCAGAGCCCAGAGUCGCAGGUACGACGCCGUGUUGGAUAUGCAGCCCAGGCAGUACUCGAUGGUGUGGAUGGCCUGGUGCAGGAGCACGUCCGCAAAGUCAAACUGGACAACAAAUAAUACAACAAAACUGGUUGUCAAUUGAAACUCAGCAUUAUUGUCUUUUAAGGUCAGAAAUUGUAGUGUUUUUUAAUGUUAUUUAAGGUCCCACAAUAGUGUAUUGUCCACAAUCUGGCCUUGAUGCUGGAAUU